UGGGGAAUAUUGGACAAUGGGCGAAAGCCUGAUCCAGCCAUGCCGCGUGUGUGAAGAAGGUCUUCGGAUUGUAAAGCACUUUAAGUUGGGAGGAAGGGCAGUAAGCGAAUACCUUGCUGUUUUGACGUUACCGACAGAAUAAGCACCGGCUAACUCUGUGCCAGCAGCCGCGGUAAUACAGAGGGUGCAAGCGUUAAUCGGAAUUACUGGGCGUAAAGCGCGCGUAGGUGGUUCGUUAAGUUGAAUGUGAAAGCCCCGGGCUCAACCUGGGAACUGCAUCCAAAACUGGCGAGCUAGAGUAGGGCAGAGGGUGGUGGAAUUUCCUGUGUAGCGGUGAAAUGCGUAGAUAUAGGAAGGAACACCAGUGGCUAAGGCGACCACCUGGGCUCAUACUGACACUGAGGUGCGAAAGCGUGGGGAGCAAACAGG
rnacentral:rRNA from 1 species